UUAAUGGAGAGUUUGAUCCUGGCUCAGGACGAACGCUGGCGGCGUGCCUAAUACAUGCAAGUCGAGCGGGGUUGUUUAGAAGCUUGCUUCUAAACAACCUAGCGGCGGACGGGUGAGUAACACGUAGGCAACCUGCCCACAAGACAGGGAUAACUAACGGAAACGGUAGCUAAUACCCGAUACAUCCUUUUCCUGCAUGGGAGAAGGAGGAAAGACGGAGCAAUCUGUCACUUGUGGAUGGGCCUGCGGCGCAUUAGCUAGUUGGUGGGGUAAAGGCCUACCAAGGCGACAAUGC
rnacentral:rRNA from 1 species